rnacentral:tRNA from 1 species
GCCGGGGUGGCGCAGUAGGUAGCGCGCUCGGCUGUUAAAUCAAGGCAUGAAUGAAGAGCGAACCUCCAUUCACGUAAACUUGACAUGCCGGAUAUACGGCAACCGAGCGGUCGGAGGUUCGAGUCCUCCCCCCGGCG